rnacentral:lncRNA from 1 species
CAUUACUACAAUUGUCAUCAAUAGGGUUUAAUUUGUGUGUCAAGUAAUUUUCACAUCACCUCUAUAGUCAAUAAUCAUGGAAAAUGCCAACAAAUAAAGGGUUAUGGGCGAAAAGCUCGAUCCAGCAAUGCAACAUGAAAUAAGAGGCAAUUUAAUUGAGAGUUGCUUACAUACAUAUAUUCACAUAAAUUUGAUUGUAUGUAUUGUAGACAAUUUCAAUAUUUAUCAUCCAAAUUAUGCAUUUUAACGUGAUUAACUUCACUUCUCAAUUACUUGUAAAUAUUGAACAAAAAAAAAAAGGGUAAAUCUCAGUUUACUAUCCUCAAGUUUCGUGGUUUUCACAUUUAGUACAUGAAGUUUUUUUUGUCCCAGUGUCAUACCUAAAAUAUUAAUUUUAGGGCAGUCUCAUACAUCCGUUAGUCUGCUAGUUAAGUCUCCCAUUAAUUGAUGACGUGGCGCCCAAGUGGAUA